CCUACGGGUGGCAGCAGUGAGGAAGAUUGGUAAAUGGCCGAGAGGCUGAACCAGCCAAGUCGCGUGAGGGAAGACGGCCCUACGGGUUGUAAACCGCUUUUGUCGGGGAGCAAAGCGAGGCACGUGUGACUCAUUGAGAGUACCCGAAGAAAAAGCAUAGGCUAACUCCGUGCCAGCAGCCGCGGUAAUACGGAGGAUGCGAGCGUUAUCCGGAUUUAUUGGGUUUAAAGGGUGCGCAGGCGGAGGUGCAAGUCAGCGGGCAAAUUGCGGGGCUCACCCCCGUACUGCCGUUGAAACUGCAUCCCUUGAGUGCGCGAGACUUAUGCGGAUUGC
rnacentral:rRNA from 1 species